rnacentral:rRNA from 1 species
AUUGAACGCUGGCGGCAGGCUUAACACAUGCAAGUCGAACGAGUGGCGGACGGGUGAGUAAUGCUUGGGAAUCUAGCUUAUGGAGGGGGAUAACUACUGGAAACUGUAGCUAAUACCGCGUACUAUAGGAUGAGCCCAGGUGGGAUUAGCUAGUUGGUGGGGUAAUGGCUCACCAAGGCGACGAUCCCUAGCUGGUCUGUGAGGAUUAUCAGCCACACUGGGACUGAGACACGGCCCAGACUCCUACGGGAGGCAGCAGUGGGGAAUAUUGCACAAUGGGCGCCAGCCUGAUGCAGCCAUGCCGCGUGUAUGAAGAAGGCCCUAGGGUUGUAAAGUACUUUCAGUCGGGAGGCGUUACCGUCAGAAGAAGCACCGGCUAACUCCGUGCCAGCAGCCGCGGUAAUUC